rnacentral:rRNA from 1 species
CGCGGCCUAUCAGCUUGUUGGUGGGGUAAUGGCCUACCAAGGCGACGACGGGUAGCCGGCCUGAGAGGGCGACCGGCCACACUGGGACUGAGACACGGCCCAGACUCCUACGGGAGGCAGCAGUGGGGAAUAUUGCACAAUGGGCGAAAGCCUGAUGCAGCGACGCCGCGUGAGGGAUGACGGCCUUCGGGUUGUAAACCUCUUUCAGCUCCGACGAAGCUUUUGUGACGGUAGGAGCAGAAGAAGCACCGGCUAACUACGUGCCAGCAGCCGCGGUAAUACGUAGGGUGCGAGCGUUGUCCGGAAUUAUUGGGCGUAAAGAGCUUGUAGGCGGUUUGUCGCGUCUGCUGUGAAAGCCCGGGGCUUAACUCCAGGUCUGCAGUGGGUACGGGCAGGCUAGAGUAUGGUAGGGGAGACUGGAAUUCCUGGUGUAGCGGUGGAAUGCGCAGAUAUCAGGAGGAACACCGAUGGCGAAGGCAGGUCUCUGGGCCAUAACUGACGCUGAGAAGCGAAAGCAUGGGUAGCGAACAGGAUUAGAUACCCUGGUAGUCCAUGCCGUAAACGUUGGGCGCUAGGUGUGGGACUCAUUCCACGAGUUCCGUGCCGCAGCUAACGCAUUAAGCGCCCCGCCUGGGGAGUACGG